GUCGAGAAUAAUUCACAAUGGACGAAAGUCUGAUGGUGCAACGCCGCGUGGAGGAUGAAGGUCUUCGGAUUGUAAACUCCUGUCAUCGGGGAGUAAGACCUGGCGGUAAAUAGCCGACAGGGUUGAUAGUACCCGAAGAGGAAGGGACGGCUAACUUCGUGCCAGCAGCCGCGGUAAUACGAAGGUCCCAAGCGUUGUUCGGAAUCACUGGGCGUAAAGGGAGCGUAGGCGGCGUGGUAAGUCAGGUGUGAAAUCCCGGGGCUCAACCCCGGAACUGCAUCCGAUACUGCCAUGCUUGAGGGGUGGAGAGGUAGCUGGAAUUCUCGGUGUAGCAGUGAAAUGCGUGGAUAUCGAGAGGAACACUCGUGGCGAAGGCGAGCUACUGGACAACAUCUGACGCUGAGGCUCGAAGGCCAGGGGAGCAAAAGGGAUUAGAUACCCGGGUAGUCC
rnacentral:rRNA from 1 species